UUUUUUUUCUUUUGUCUCAUUUGUUAAUCAUUAUUUUUGGUAAUAAAUCAUUGGUCUUCCUAAAAGUUUUCUCAAUGGUGCCAAUUUAAAAUGCUCCCGUGUAGAAGCUUUCUAAAAUGGAUUGCUUUUGUAAAACUGUAUAAAUUUAUUAAAAAUUAAGAAACUGUAUACUGACAGUGGAUGAAUUGUAUGUAAAUUAUACCUCAAUAAAGGUGUUAAAAUCGAAAGAAAAUUCUUGAACGAUUUAGAGUUCCUCUGUAAACUAUAUUUUUGUGUGUGUGAUAUUCAAAGGUUGAUUAUUCGUCUUUCUGACCUUGAAUAGUCUUCAGAAUUCUUCACUCAUUUUCAUCCCUACUUUGACUUCCACCUCAAGGCUUCAGCUAAAAAUUUAUGGAGGUGACUCCUUAUUCAAUAUUUUUAGUCCUAAACCACAGGCUCAUUUUUUCAGCCUCCUUUUGGAUAUAUCUCUGAUUACUCUUUUGGCCCCUGAACAUUCUUCCACAAAUCCUCAAAUGCAGUCAUCACACCUUUUCUCAAACCAGCUCUCCUUUUUUUACCCAACAAAUAAUUACGGGCCUCAACUGUGACUCAGCCCCAAGUAGUGGCUGUAUAUAGUAGUAUUGAAUAGAAGAGGUAAAUUCCUUGCAUGCAUGGCACGUAUGGUCAACUGGAGAAGGCAGACAUUGAGGAGGGUAUUGCAAGUUGAAAAAAGUAUUUUGAACAGAAAAGAGAAAGAGACGAAAGAGAAGAGGAGAAGGAGGAAGAAAAGGAGGAAGUAGCAGUAUAUAGCAUAUUGAGAACGGCAAACUCUGUCUAUGCUGUUCCUCUCCUGGUUAAAUAGACUGCCUUCCACAUGGCAACGUCUAUCUACUGUCUCUAAGAUGAUUCUACAUCCACAAAUUUUUCGUAUUUUUCUUGGUCUCUCUUCUUUGCCAUCUGGACCAUUUCAAUGAUCUCUUAAUAUGCUUCCCUGCAGUAGCCACAAAUACAAAGUAACCACAAUAAUCUUCCCAAAAUGCAUAGCGGUAGUUAUGCUGCUUUUCUAGAUAAAAACCUACAAUUGCAUAAGAAAAAAAGUCCAUAUUCUAGAUCCUUCUAGAUCUUUCUAAUCAGAUCCAAUCUAUCCUUCUAAGCAUUUCUCUAAUUCUCUUCCACCUGCAAAUUUGAAGUUCAUUCUUCUUCUCAUGCCAUUUUCUCUCUGCUUAGAAUGUUCUAGCCCAGAGAUUCUCAAAGUGAGAUCCAUGGACCACCUGCAUCAUCUGGGAAAUUGUUGAGAAUGCAAAUUCUUGGGACCCACCCAAGGUCUACUGACUCAAAGUUGCACAAAGUAUAUUUUAGUGAGCAUCCAGGUGACCCUGAUGCACAUAAAGUUUGAAAAGCACUGCCCAGGUCCAAGUCUUCCUCUUGAAAUUCUAGCUAUCUUUGAGCCUAAACCUAAAUGUCAUUUUCACUUUAAAGCCUAAUUUCCCUGGUCAUAAAUAAUUUCCAUUUCUUCUAAACUUUCAAAGUAACUUUAUUUGUUGAAACAUGUUAGUGUAACACAAAACUUUGUAUUUUUAAAAUACACUAUUUCAUUCCAAAAUGAGGUUUAGUAUUCAUGGCCCAUUUUAUUUGUGAGCUAUGUAUGUGUCUAUGGCUUGGAUCAUAGCAGUGGCAAUGGUGGUGGGGAGAUAGGUUUCAGAGAAUGGUGAUUCUACAGAUUGAUUGAAAGAAACGAGCUUUAAAAGAAGCCAAAAGUAGCUUUUGGCUCAAAAAGGGUGUGAGAAUAGUUUGAGGGAAGAGAGAAGACAAUGGAGCAUAGGAUGGGAGAAAGUGUGUCAGGUAAAAACAAGAACAGUUUCUAUUGUUUCUCUUCCAAUACCAUGGGUGUGGGCACUAAUGCAACAAUCCGGAAGCCAAGUAUCCCCUUCAAGUUUCCUCAGAUGGCACUGAGUGGAAGCAAAGAAACUCCCUAUUUUUUUCAGCAUGAUUAGGAUGAAGGACAUUACUGAGUAUAUAAUUUUAAGUCUAAGAAAUUUCAACCUCCAUAUGCCAUAUGUAUUUUCUGCUAAGUAAUUUUCUCUAAUAACUUACCAUAUGCAAACUAGCCAAAGUUUGGAAUGAAACAUCCCUGUCCAAUUUUUCAGCUAAACUCCAAAAAGGGCUUGGAGAGCAAACAGAUGUAAGGCAGGAAAAGCAGGAGGCGAUAUAAAAUAAAAUUGUCUAAUUGUCCAGGGAACUCAUGGAAAGUUAAACUGAUACAGGUGGUAUAUUUAUACUUUUCUCUUAUUUAAUUCCAUUCUUAUUUGUACUAUAGUAUGCUAUGCUAAAGUCAUUUAAUGAAUAUUGAAUAUAUAUCAUGUAUUUGUUUCAGUUAUCAAAAAUCUUAAGCACAAUAAACAUGUUACCUGUGUUUUUGGUCAAAUAUCUUGCUAUUGCUAGGCUCUGGUGAAGAGUAAGUCCAUCAACUUCCAAAAUGGGGAUUUUUCCAAAUGGGAGAGCUUAAAAUGAAAUGAGCAAAUAAUUAACUUCAUAACAAAACCAGAAGUUAUAUUACUUCCAUUUUUACUGAUCAUCGUGAAAACAAAGCAUGAUUUUAUGGAAUCAUGAAAUUCUUAAAUAUUUUUAAAGGAACACUUGACAACUUGUAGUGGAAUAUUUAUAUUUUAUAAGUUUUGUUUAAGUUGUUAGAAAACCUGAUUUAAAAUUAGUGACAGAAUUUGUUCUUAAGCUCAGGUUUAUAGUGACACCAUAUACUGUACUGUAUUUUACAUGCUUACUGUUAAAAAAAAUUAAUUGUAAAACUUCAUUAUUUUUUGCAGCCUCAAUUGCAGAUUAUUAAAAUCGUAGUCUGAGGAUUAUGAAGAGUUUGAUUUACAUAUUGAGUUAUGAUAAAACAUGCAUGCCAGGCAGUUCAAGCCUGCGAAGACUGCUGGUUAUACAGGAUAUCUGGGUAUAAAUAAACCAACACAUUUGUAUACAAGGUAAA
rnacentral:lncRNA from 1 species